GGGGCGUAGCGCAGCUUGGCAGCGCGCCUGCUUUGGGAGCAGGAGGUCCCGGGUUACGCUCCCGGCGCCCACG
rnacentral:tRNA from 1 species